CUGAGGGCAGUCCCUGGCCAUGCCUUUAUCCUUCUGGCUUUCCAAGGGCCAUCUAACCCCUCCUCUGUCCCAGGCCUGCCUGGUGACUGCCUCCUGGUCCACGCGCUGGAGGAGGAGGCCCUCCGGUGGCUGCAGGACGUCUCGAUGGCAUUCCGCAGCGCCAUGUGCCCGCACCCUGAAGGCCUGACCUCCCUGGUGGAGUCUGGCUUGAGUAGCCUGGAGCCCCGCCCUGAGGCGACGAUCCAGUGCAAAAUCCUCCGCCUGGUGUGCCGUACGCGGGGCCAGCUGGACGGGCUGCUAGCCCCGUGCACCGCGGAAGCCAUCUUUGGCUCGCUGCUCUUCUGUGAGAACCACCAUGACCGCUUCAUCCACAGCAUGGCAAGCGGGCGCAGAUGCCGCGGCUCAGCGCAGGGAAGGCGUCAGAAGGGGGGGGAGCGAGAGCAGCUCAGCCACCUCCUUGUCCCAUUUGCCCCUGCCUAAGGGCAGGCUUGGAACCUCCCCCCACCCCGCCCCUGCUGUCCAGAGGGUCUCUGCUUUGUGGAGCCAACAUCGGGAGCAGGCAACCCUCCGUGGCCUGAUCUUCCCUUUCAGCUUGACUCCUGCUCAGGGCUGACCUCUGCACUCUCUCCGCUGACACCAUUCACUGGUGGCGCUGGUUCCCUGGCAAGGCAGGUGGCCUGAUGCACCAGGGCCCUGAUAGCCAAGUCCUUGGCCCACCAUCGCCUGUGGGAGCCUCCUUUGCCCGGACACCAUCGCCGCCUUCCUUCUUGAGCAGACUGACCAGCUGGACAGCAAGACAGGCAUGGGCAUCUCGUUGUAUUCGUCUACACCUUCCCGCUCGUCCAAGAUCGGCUCAGCCUCGGCCGCAUCCAGCUGGGGAAGAAUGAGAGAUACUAUGGGGGGGGGAGGAACCUGCUCCUCUGGCCCCACGUGCAGCAGCGCCCGCUCCCUGCCCAGCCCCUCCCAUUCCCUCCAAAGCUGACUAUCAGGCAGCAAGGAUGGCCCUUCCUGAGCACCAGCCGGGAAGAGCGCUCUCCUGCUGCCGCUGCUGCUCUUGCGCUCAUGCCUGGCUUGCACCUGGUUGGCUACUGUGAGAAGAGGAUGGUGGUCUAGAGGGGCCCCUCUGUCCUGGUCCAGCUGCUGAAGGGCUCUUGGGGAGAGCACCCUCCUUACCCCCUCGGUAAUGUGUCACUUACACACUUCAUCUCUCGCUCCGUGAAGAUGCGGCUGAGCAGGCACAUCCGGAGUGGCACGGUGAGGAUGAGGAUGAAGGGGAAGGCCAGCGAGGCGACGGUCGACAUGACUGCCCAGAGGACGGCCAGGCAGCCCAGCUGCAAGAGGGUGAAGAGGUGCAUGCGCAGGGUCCGCACCUGCAGAGGAAGCAGCGGCAGCAGCAUUGGCCUCCUCCCUGCGCUCCUCUUCCUGCCCCCACUCCCCACAGGCGAGGGCACCGUUGUCCCUUUCGUACUAUCCACCCCUUGCAGACAUUGUGGCUUUUUAAAAGGACAGCUAAAUGGGGCACACUCGAGGUUUAGAAAACCAUGCACAGCGUGGGGAAAGCAGCCAAGAGGGUUUCCUUCCUCUGGAGACCAGAGUUGUCCAAGUGAACCUGAUGAGCACGAGAUUCAGGCUAGGUGGAAAGGAAGAAUUUCUUCACCGAAAGCAAAACUAAGUGAACUGGAUACCCUGAAAAGUGGCAACUGAAAGCUUGAAAAGGGAGCAGGAAAGCUCAUGGAGGAGGAGAGAAGGCACUGUGGCUCUGCUGGCCAAGACCUCAAUGGAGCAUCCACCUUCCAAAGUGGCAGCGAGGGAACACCGCCGUUAGGCUCUACUAUGGAGUUACAAAAGAGCAAGUCAGCUUUCUGGUUCCAGCCACACUUUUUAUCCUGCUCAGUGUUAAGCAAAUAAAAAAAAGGGAGGGGGAUAAAAUGA